UGCCUGCAUUUUUCAAUUUUUUACAAGUUUGGACCCUUUCAAAGGACAUUUGUCUCCAGUAAAGCGGAUGCCAUUUUCUGUCUGAACGAGGUGAGUUCUUUUCUCUACUAAUCGGAAACUGCUGGUAUUUUUCUAGCUUGAAAUGUGUACAUGUUAAUGUGGGUAAGGUGAACAGUAAGACUUUGAUAAUCAUUUUGUUUUUAGAGUUUCUGUCGACCUGUGUGUUCUCUGCAUACAGUUUUGAAACAGUAGAGUAGAAUUCAAAUUACUUCAGUGUAGUUUUGAAAAGUAAAUGCCCAUUUUUAACAUUAGCCCCAUUUAUUGUCCUAUUUUUGUAUAAAGCCUCAUUAUAAUGCCUUGGAAAUGCAAGUACUGCCCUGUCAUCUGUGAGAAGAGAACACAGCUUAUCAAACAUUGUCAGCUAAAACAUGGAACUUCUGCCAGAACUGAACUCUUUCUUGCUUAUACCAGGAAUGUAUGUGUACAUUUAAGUCUCUCAAUGCACUCCAUAGCUAUUUAUUCUGCUUUCACAUCAUAAAUGUGGGUCAAAUGCAAACUGUAGACUCUACAAUUAAGUUUUGCUGUUUGUCAUGGUAAUUUUUUCUCAUGACAAAUGUAUUUUUGUUCAUAUUUUUCAGGUUUACUUGGAGUUUAACAGGGUUGAAAUCUUCAAGAAAAAUUCUUUCUAAUUUCAUGGAAAUCUUCAAGAGGAAGAUGGUUCAGAGAGGCAAGCAGUUAGCUGACCUGCUACAACAGACAACGAGCACUGAGCCAACAGCCAUUAGAAGCCUUGUCCUGAGAGGACUUCCAGUCAUUCUUAGGGACGAUGCAUCCAUGUUCUUUCAGAACAAUUUGGGGAAGCAGCGCCGGCUGGAAUUCUUUGUCGUUUGUCCGUUCGAGGUUCCUCUCGGAGCAACAAUAGCAGCUUUGUCGCUCUUUGCCAGAUCCUGGCAGCGACGUCCUUCAGUCCUGUGACUGUUUGUUCGUCUUUUACAAACCCAGACUCUUGUGCUCUGAUGUGAAGAGAUCAGAGACCACCGAUAGAAACGUGUCAGACACUUCAGUCAGACGGCAAAUGUGAACAAAAACCUGCAUCUGAUCCACUGACAUCCACUGUAUUAAGAAUAGAUUCAAACAUUAACUCUGCUAAUUUAACCCCAAAUCAUGGAAAUUUGGUGGAAAGCUACAUUUUGGCAACCAAACGCAAUGCAGAACUAUUAAAUUAAAAACUUGUUGCAUUCAUGGCCUGAGCCAGAAUAAGAAAUACUUUUUUGAUCUGUAAGAGGAAAUUCUCAACAUUCCAGUUGCUCCCAUUAAGAGUCUUAUAAAUAUAAAAUACAUAAAUAUAAGUAGACAAAUCUGCCCUAAAAUACAACCAUCAGUAGAAAAAGUCUAAGCAUGAAGAGUAAAACGUGCUUUGUUCUAAGAAAUAAAGGUGUUUCAAAUAGUACUUCAGUAACAGUAUUCAUGUUAUUGCACAGAGAAAAGCAAAGAACAAGAAAAGAAAACAGAAACCCUCUUAGGUUUCUCAUUUAUGCUGUCAGGUUAAACCAGGUUAGAAAUGAGUUCUUCUGUGAAUGCGUGGAGCUUUUAGUGUUCCAGUAGAAGCAAAUCAGCUGGAAAUGAAUAACAACAAUAUUCUACCAAACCUUUGAAAGAACAAAGCGGAUUGUUAACUUGUGAUGCUGCAUAAAAAUGAGUAAAGUACGACUUCUGACAGCCUUGGAAAUGGAAAAAACCAGAGCUGUAACUAAUUGAAUGAGGAUCACACUGUGGAGACUUCAGGGCAAAUGUGAGAAAAGAUCUUUCAGAUUAAAAUGUUCUGUGGUGACCAGAGAGCUAUAAAUCCAAUCAUUCCUCUACUUUCAUUCCAUGUUUGCUUUCUUUCUCUUUCAAAUUAAAGCUAAAAAAAAAGCUUAGAAAUCAUCUUGAAAAGCUCAAAUGUUACGUUAAGAAACACAGAUUUCUAGCCGUUUCUGGCCGUACGUUCCCCGGCCGGUGUGUCGCCAGUCUGUGAGCUUCUCUGCAGCUGCUGCUGCUAUAAAGACCGGAUAUACACGGCAGGGGACGGGGGACCAUACUGCCAUACUGAUUUGUCUCCAGCUGAAGAGACGACGCUGCAGCGCUGAAGCCACGGGAGCAGCCUGUUUCCUCCUGCCGUCCUUUGUGGAGGACAGGACCCCUGCUGCCCUCGGCUAGAGAGGGCAUGGACCUUACCCCCCCCCCGGGCUCUCCGAUCAGCCGGCGUGAGCCCCGGACUGUCGCUCCCCUGGAGCCUGACUUCGCCCUCCCUGAUCUUUGUGAGUUCUGGCCAUAGUUGGCAUUAUAGCUGUUUUGGAAUUAGUUCUGUGAAUAAAGACCUGUUUUGGUUGUCA